rnacentral:lncRNA from 1 species
UUAACUUGGGAAAUCUGUCAAGCAAUAAGUAGACAUACUUGUACACAUAUAUAAGGAAAAGUACAAAUCUAAUUCUGGAAAAUAACUUUCGAAAUUGAAAACUUGGGACAUCAGUCAUUUAAUUGGGGAAUAUCCCACUGAUUGAGUAAAAUCAAUACCAAACUGUAAAGAGAGUACAAAUCACAAUUUAAAGCCAGUAAUCAUAUCCUUAAAGAGAAGGUAAGAGACAGUAUAAAGUCACCAUAUAAACAACCAAAAUUCUCAAAAGAAGAACAACAUCAUGGUAUGGGAAUGAAACAUUAGCAAAAAAAAUCAAAGCAAAGGGCAUUCUCAAAAGAAGAACAACAUCAUGAUAUGGGAAUUAAACAUUGGCAACAAAAAUCAAAGCAAAUGGCACGGAGCUCAUAUAAGAAACAUGCAAAUAGGCAAACACUGAUACAAACAUGUAGGGUUAGGGGUUUUUAUCAGAUUUCACAAGAAGUUCAGAGGUAGUACUAAAGGCCAUGAAUUAGUGCUAAAAAUCAGAAAAGUGAAGUACUUUCCAAUGAGGUUAUGAAACCCUUAGAAAUUAUAGCGUGAAACCAAGUUGACAAACAAACAAACAAACAAACAAGUGAAAUAAACAAACACAAACAAAUACAUACCACUCAAACAGAGUAGAAGAACAAUUUCGAAGAAGGGGUUAGAAACCCUAAUUUGGAAUAAUGGUAACCAUCGAAAAAUUUGAAAUAACCCGAGAAGCUAAGUAGAAAUAGAGUAAAAAACAAAAAAAUCAAACUAAGAGUUAUUUAAAAGAGUAAAGAUUAAAGAGAAAAAUUAGUGUUUUCAAACAGAUUAGGGAAACGAAGAACCUGGUUGUGAAACUCGUAUACAAUGUCGUAUAAGGCAUCAUCGUUCAAAGAUCACUGGAGAAACACCGGAAACAGACCCCAAAUAGAGCUUCAGUGACCGUCUUCCAU